rnacentral:lncRNA from 1 species
AUUUUUUUAAGUCUAACAAAAUUCACACAACUUAUUUUUAUGUCUUAAAUAGGUUUGACACAACUAGGGCCCCUAUCCUUGUAUGUU